CCAAAUUUGGAGAUUCCUCCAUUCUAUCUCCUUUCUUUUCUUUAUUUUAGAGGAGAGUUUAGCGUAGUUGUUGGAGCAAACUUUCCCAAAUCUCCAAAAUUUCUAAAAUAACAUAGUUGUUAGAGAUGCUCUUAGUAGCUAAACCAAAUUUCUUGUAUUGUCAUACAUUUUGCAUUUUUUAGAAUAAUACUUUAUGCCUAAUAUUUGAUAAUGACCAAUUUCAUUGAUUUCCAUUUCCAAUGUAGACUCAUAAGAUUUACAUAUGAUCAAUGAUUAACUCCUGCCUAAACGAAUGUUGAAAAGCGUGAAUGGGAUGUUAGGCUGAACAACUUCUAUUGCUGCUACAAUUCUUUUAAAUUGUAUGGAUCUUGAUUUGCAGUCCUGUGCCCGUCUAUUACAAACCAUUACUUCCAAUGUCGUCAUCAAACAAGGGAAGCAAUUACAUCUAUUGUUUCUCAAAAGGGGCGUUUUGCCUUCUUCCAUCACUUUGGCAAAUCGCCUGCUACAGAUGUACGCCAGAUGUGGCGACCUAUUUGAUGCUCGGAAACUGUUUGAUGAAAUGCCUCGAAGGAAUUGCUUUACCUGGAACUCCAUGAUCGAAGGCUAUGUCAAAUCAGGGAAUAAAGAAGAGGCUUUGCAUUUGUUUUACUCAAUGCCCAACAAGAAUAGUUUCACUUGGAACAUGAUUAUUUCGGGGUUUGUUAAGGCAAGUAAGUUGAAUGUGGCAAGAAAGCUCUUCGAUGAGAUGCCAAUGAAAAAUGGGGUCGCAUGGAAUUCAAUGAUUCAUGGAUAUGCUGAAAAUGGGCAUUCUGUGGAAGCACUUAGGCUAUUUAAAGAUUUGAAGUCAGGUUGUUACGGACCAUGCCAUGUGGACAUAUAUGUUUUAGCUACGGUGUUUGGUGCUUGUACUGAUUUGUUGGCUCUUCAAUUAGGAAAGACAAUUCAUGCUUGCAUAGUUGUUGGUGGGGUUAAGUUUGAUCCAGUCUUGGGAAGUUCAAUUGUCAACAUGUAUGGGAAAUGUGGUGAUCUCGAUAGUGCAAGUCUAGUGUUGCGUAGUCUGCCAUACCCUGAUGAUUUCUCUCUCUCGUCAUUGAUCUCUGCAUACUCUAAUAACGGUAGAGUUGCUGAUGCGAAAAGAAUUUUUUGCAUCAAGAAUGACCCUUGUGUUGCUUUAUGGAAUUCUUUGAUUUCCGGUUAUAUUGUCAAUGAUAUGGCAAUGGAAGCACUCAUACUCUUUGGUGAAAUGAGGAGAAAUGGAACUAAAGAAGAUGCCUCUACUAUUGCUAUCAUUUUGAGUGCGUGUGAUUGUUUGGGUUUUCUUGAAUAUGGAACACAAGUGCAUGCCCAUACUUGUAAAUUUGGAGUGACUCGUGAUCUUGUAGUUGCAUCUGUACUUGUGGACACUUAUGCCAAGUGUGGGAGGCCUGAUAGUGCGUGUGAGUUAUUCCCUGAGCUAAAUACAUAUGACACAAUUUUACUGAAUUCAAUGAUUAAUGUUUAUUGUACUUGCGGAAGAAUUGAAGAUGCUAUACAAGUCUUUCAGAGUAUACCGUCUAAAAGCUUGAUCUCGUGGAACUCAAUGAUAUCGGGGUUAAGUAAAAAUGGUUACCCAACUGAAGCACUUGCGUGUUUUGGCGAACUGAAUACAAAGGGCUUCCACAUGGAUAGAUUUAGUCUUGCCAGUGUGAUUAGCACGUGUGCAACCAUUUCUUCACUUGAACUUGGCAAACAAUUGUAUGCCAGAGCUAUUGUUAUUGGUCUUGAAUCUGAUAAAGUUGUUUCUACUGCCCUUGUGGACUUCUAUUGCAAAUGUGGGUUAAUUGAUGAUGGUCGAAAACUCUUUGACGAAAUGAUACAAUCUGAUGAAGCUUCUUGGAAUUCCAUGUUGAUGGGUUACGCUACAAAUGGUUAUGGCAUUGAAGCAUUGCAUUUAUUCAAUGAUAUGAUAAAAGUAGGUGUCAUGCCAACAGAUAUUACAUUUACUGCAGUUCUAUCUGCAUGCAAUCAUUGUGGUUUAGUUGAAGAGGGCCUAAAAUGGUUUAAUGCAAUGAAACAUAAGUAUUCUAUCGAUCCAGGAAUUGAACAUUAUUCAUGUAUGAUAGAUCUUUUUGCACGGGUUGGUCAACUUGAGGAAGCCAUAGAUUUUCUUAUUUACAUGCCAUUUGAGGCUGAUGCAAGCAUGUGGUCGACAAUUUUACGAGGGUGUUUAGCUAACGGAGACACAAUUCUAGGGAAGAAGGUUGCAGAGAAAAUCACAAUGAUUGAUCCAAAGAACCCAGAUGCAUAUGUGCAACUAUCAAGCAUUUUUGCCACUUCUGGGGACUGGGGCAGAUCAGCACAAGUUAGAAAGUUAAUGAUAGCCAAGAGAAUGCAGAAAGUUCCUGGUACAAGUUGGAUUGAUCGUUGAGAAUCUCAGGUGUAUAUACUUAUUAAAAGUAUACAUAUUCAUAUUUUUUAGAAUAUUAUUUGGAAAGACUGUUGCACAUAGUUUUCUUUGAUGAGCUAGGAAGAUGAUUAAUUGGUUAUUAACUACAGAACACGAGCACCGGUUAGGGAACAGUUUCUCCAAAAUUCGACUGGUGGCAUAUUCAAGUGGUCUUUAUUGUUUCUAUACAAGGAAAUCUAAAUCAUUCAGAUUUUUAGGAUCAUGGAAUCUGAGUAAAAAGUGAUUGUCGUCAUCAAAAUUUAAGUACUCUAACCUGAAAUGUGGCCAAGUGGAGAAGUGUUGGAUGAAUUAUGUCUACAUCAUCUCAAGUGCUUCAUAUAAACAUGAUAUAUGAUGUCAAAAGUACCAGCUUUCUUGAAUCAAUCUGCAUCAGCAAUGUGAAGGCAAUAAGCACAAAAGCGACAGAGGAUGCACUUAGGAUCAAGAGGGUAUCAUGGGAAGAAGGAUAAUGGUAUAACGCCCGAGAUAUUCAGUAUCUCGAGCGACUAUCUGUUGGAGAGGCGGGUUAAAGUAGGCUCCAUGAAAUACGUCAUACCGGAUCACAUUCAGAGCAGAAGAGAUUGAAUUAUCAUCCAAUGGGCUGUUGGCUGCAUUUAAGAAGAGAAAGCAGUGAAGUAAAGACAAAGAUGAAGAGAAAGAAGACCUGAAGAUGAACAAAGAGAGUGGGAGACAAAAGCUGGGGUCUAUCAAGAAGAAAGAGAUUCUGCUGAAUAACAUGCAAAGUCCAAUUUGAAUAAGGUUUGUAUGGAUCUGAUUUUGGGGGAUGCUGUUGGUGUAUUUUAGGUUUGUUUGUAACCUAGAUAAAGUUUCUAGUGAUAGAUGUUUGUGGAUCUAAGGUCUCUACCAACGGAAGCUCAAGAUUGGGGUAAAAUCUAGAUUUAGCCAAAAUCUAGCAAGGUGUAUUUAAAGAUGUUUUCUUGAUAUU